UACGAAGGGUGCAAGCGUUGUUCGGAAUUAUUGGGCGUAAAGCGCACGUAGGCGGCCUUGCAAGUCGGAUGUGAAAUCCCUCGGCUUAACCAAGGAAGUGCAUCCGAAACUGCAGUGCUUGAGUACUUAAGAGGAUCGCGGAAUUCCCGGUGUAGAGGUGAAAUUCGUAGAUAUCGGGAGGAACACCAGUGGCGAAGGCGGCGAUCUGGGAAGAUACUGACGCUGAGGUGCGAAAGCGUGGGGAGCAAACAGG
rnacentral:rRNA from 1 species